UUCAUGCAAAGCAAGCCGAGAGUGGGUGUUUUCUAGGGGACCAAGUUCACUUUCUGGAAAUUGUUAAUUUUUGGAAGUAAGAACACCCACAGACAAUACUGGGGAGACUGAGACUCUCAAGGAGACAGGUCAAGCUUCCCAAUUUCAAUCUUCAUCCAAUUAUAUCAUUUGAAGUGGUUACAAGAGAUUUCACAUUUUCUCCUCACCUCUUUCUGCUUAAACCCCCAGGAGGAUCAAGAAUUUCAGCCAUGAAUGAAGAUCAUUCCAGCCGCCCUAUUCUCUGGACUGUAUCCUGAGAGACAGCUCCUGGUUCCAUGCCCCAACUGCCUACUUACAUAUCCCGGCGGGAUGUUGAUUUCACCUGGUUAGCAACAUCUAGACCGCUAUUUGACCAAACAUCUGGGCACCAUAGCUUAGCCCACAUACAAUCGACCCAUACAAUCAACCACCACAGGAGUAUUGUGUGGGUUUUAUAAAUGAAGCCCAGGAAGAGGAAAGAAUGUUUAUGGAGUACGGGAAACCUCCUGCCUUUCUCCCACAAUUGAAGACUGACAAGAUUCCAAGACGUUAGUCAACCCAGUAGGAACCUUACAGUCACCAUGGUUUGGGACAUCAAAGGGAACAGAUCUGAGUUAUAAAUAAGGUUUUGCUCCAGAUAACACACAGCCAAGUACUGUGGGUUCAGGAAAUCACUCUUCUUACUUUCAUCAACCUCAAAGAAAGGUUCUCUCUCUGGAGUUGGUGACACCAAGAGAAAUGUCUGAGGUGUAUUCACUGCUUCUGACCAAGGCUCCCCCUGCCGCAUCAGAGGGACGGAAACAGCAGGGCUGUGGCUGUGCCCGGACCCACACACAUUAAUCAUUUUAAUGAAGUGGAGCCAGUCGUCUUUGUCAAAUCGUUGGGUCAAUCCACUUCAAAAUAUCAGAACAAGGUGUCGGAUAGAGUUGAUCAUAUUUUGAACAGAUAACAUCUAAGGAAUGACCCGGCAAAGCCUUCGUGUGCAUAUUCCAGACCACUGGUGCUAGACAUCUUGACGCCAAGACCCCGUGACUGCAGGGAAUAAGUGACUUAUGAUGGACACCUGGACCUUGUCCUUAUUCUGACCAGCUCCUGGAUGCCUGAGAGGACACAUGCAACAGGCCAUACUGAUCAAUAAAAACCGCAGGCCCCAAGCAAAGACAAGACUCCCUCCUUUCCUUUCUGAGUCUCCCAGACGCUCUGUCUGUACCUACAGUGUCUCUAUACCUUCAGUAAGUGCUGCUUUUGGCUCCUGCUGGCUUGCAUUUGACUUCUAUCCUGCCCACAGCCAAGGAUCCUCUUGGCUGGUUCUGUGAGACCCUCCUUUGGGUCCUCAGACCUAAGCUUCCGGCAUCCCAGAGAAGAAUGUAAUGCGUCUUUUCAUUCAUUUCAAUCAUCCUUAAAAGCUCACAGAAAAUUUGAAGCUUUCUUCCUCCAAGUCCAGUAUAUUUAUCGUUAAGGUUAUUCUUAAUGUUUUUUUCUUAAUUGCUUUGUUUUGUUUUGUUUUUGAUUGCUCACAUGAAUAAGAGUUUUUCAAUACGUCACAUAAUGAUGUCUGUGAUACAGGAAAAUACCAGUAUUUCUGAGUGUAUGCCAUCUGUCCAUCUUAUGAACUCAUCAUGAACUUAAUAGCUUUUCCAUUUAGUUCUCUGAGGAUGUGGAGCAGUGAAGUCAAGUUACCUACAAAUAAGGAUGGUCUUCUACCUCCCCACUGCCAUCAUUUUCAAGGACAAGAUACACAGCUCCCUGUCAUCUCAUUUACAAUGUUAAGUGCAGAAUUGAGGUACUUGCAGGUAAAGGAUGUCCAAAAUCCAUUUCUUUAAAAUAGCCAAGAAAUGUUGAGUGGUUUUAUUGUCAUGGGGCCCCCAGCAAGACCCCUUUCAAGUGCAGAUACAGACCCCAGAAUGUCACAGAGCAAGGCCUUCAGGCAUGGUUCCCUUCAUGCAAAUGAAGAAGGCAGAUGGAAAUCAUUGUGAUGAAAAUCUAAUUUUUCAAGAGCUUUAGUGUGCAUUAUCCACAUGGUCCAAGCAUUUGCAACAAAAAUUUAAGGUCAAACUGGCCUCUUUUAAGAGCCCUCUCUUGCUGCCAAAAACUGCAUGCUUGUGCUUAGGGUAUAGAACUCAAUUUAAUAUCACUCAGAGUCAAAUGUAAUUAGAAAGACAGACUAACUGGAAACAAAGUAGCAACUGUAUUCCAGGAUCAAGUACACCUAUUUUAAAUAUCUUGUACUAUAGAGUAAAAGGCCUAAUUCCAGGGUCAGUAUAACACUAUGACAAUGCUCGUACCCCUCUAGUCCAGGAAACCAGAGUCAGAAUCCCAACACUGCCUUUCUCUAGCUGUUUGACCUUGUGCAAUAUAGUCAUGUUAGUUGAGGUGGGACUUGAUUCUAGCCCAAAAUACGUGUGGCAUGAAAUUAAACAUCACUAUUUCUCUCUCCCCUAAAAGUCUGGACUUAGCUAUUAAGGGAAUGGGACAGAGGCUCAGCCUCACAGUGACCUCAGAGACUGUGCUGCCAUUCCCAAGGGGUGGGCCUUCUCCUUACGACUCAAAAUGGCACCUAGGGUCUCACAUCAUAUGCGUAUUUCUGGUAGUAAGAUAGGGACAAUGAAGGACUCCAUAAAACCCUAUUUUUCCUCCUUUUCCUGAUUCUCUUUUUACCAUGACCCACAUCCUCACCUUAUACGUAUAAAGUUAUACGUUAUAAUGCAAAUGGUGUGUCUUCCUUGUAAGGGAUGAGGAGUUAGUGAUUUCUUCAGAAUAGAUAAUAUCUAAGGAAGGGCCAAGUGAGAAUGACGAGAGGAAGCCAUCAGAUGAGUAUUCCCAACCACCAGCACUAGACAUCUCAACACCAAGACCCCCUGGUUCCAAGGAAUAAUAUCUCAGCCUUCAUCUUUGUUCUAACUAGUCCCUAGAUGUCUGAGAGAACUAUACGAUCUUCAGUGAAACUCCCCCACACACUGGAAAAACACGAGACUGUCUCUCUUUUCCUUUCUGAAUCUCCCAGACAUGCUGUCUGUACCUGUACUUUUUCUAUACCUUCAGUAAACUGUUCUCACCUCUUGCUGGUUUCUGGUGAUUUCCAUCCCACGCCUCACCAGGGACCCUGUUGGCUGGUCCUGCAGGAACUCUUCCGGGUCCUCAGACCUGGCCUGCCCAUAUCAGCAGGAUAGGCAAAACAAACAAUGAAAAACCAAACAAAAGACAAUACCACCACCAAACAAACCCAAAAAGGACACAGGGUGAACAUGACUGUCUUUUAAGGAAAGUUCCCUGGUACAGCCACACAAAGCUUUUCAUUUAUAUUACAUGGAUCAGAACAUGGGUCCAAGACAAUAAUUUAUGGCAAGGGAAGUUGGGAAGAGUGUGCUAGGUGUCUGACUAAAACCGAAAGCUUCCAUUAGGGAAUUUAAAAAUUGUGGCUAUUGGUAGACAUUUAUUUGUGUUUGUUCUUGUAUUUUACUUUUAUUUGUCCUCAUUUCUGUAUUUAUAAAAUGAGCAGAAUGAUGAUAAUCUCACAGUAUUAUUGUAAGGAUGAAUUUAACUGAGGUCAUAUUUGUAAGAUGCUUAACUCAUAUCCUACAUAGGGAGCAUUCAAUAAAUUUUGGCGAUCGUUGUCAACAAACGAUUAUGUUGGCAAUAUACAUUUUAUUGGUUUCUACUACAAAUACAAUGUUUUUAUAAUAGGUACAAAUUAUCUGAGGAAUCACUGUAAAGUUCAAAACUGUACAGCCAUGAGUCUUGAACUGUGUUUCCUACAGUUGUGUUGAGUGAGCCUGCUAAGAUCUAGGAAAGUAGGGCCAUUUGCCGUGGUCACACAGAUUUGCAGCUUGGAUCUAGAACCCCGAGCCUCCUAAUUCAUAUUCCAAACCACUCCAAGCCACUCGCCAUGUGGGCCACAGUUAGAAUGAGAGUCUCAACUUCUGAUCCGAUACCAACUACCCACUGCAUGGACCCCUUGACAGGACUCUUGGAAUAGCUAGAUACACAUCAUUCCUGGGGAUGCUUAGGUUCUGCUGAUGUGAGGAGGAAAGCUCUGAGGUAAUGGAUCCUGUGUGCAGAUGACUGAGGAUUUGUUUGCGAACCUUCUACCAGGUAGAAAUUCCAUCCUCAGUUUUAUCCUCUCAGUGUUUGAACCCAUCUAGAUCUCUCUUCCUCUCUCUCAUGAAACCACAUUUGAGAUUCACCUUUUUCUAGAUCGCAUUGUCAAAUGUGACAAUGGUAAUAGUAGUAGUAACAGCUACCAUAACAACCAAAUGCUAUUUCAUUCCAGAUAUCCAGUCAGGUACUCCUUAUGCAUUACUGCCUUCAUCUGAUCAUCAGAAGCUCUCUAUGAGAUAGAUCUUGUCAUGAUGUCCAUUUAACAGAUAUGCAUGGUGAGGCACAAUGAGAGUAGAUGAGUUGUCUAACGUCACACAGUGGGUCAGUGGCAGAAUGCAGAUUUGAACCUGGUAAAUUCUGGUCCUUCUUCAUUACAUUACAUUAACUUUCAUAUAUUAUUUACUUUUCUUUCCUCCAUUGUUUUCACCUACUAAACAUACCUUUAUGGUCUCAUAAUAAUUUUCACUUGCUCAUAUUUUGCUCUAGCUUUAAAUGCAUAUCUUAUUCCUAAUA